GAGUUUUGAUCCCUGGGUUCAGGGACGAAACGCUGGCGGGCGCGGUUUAACACCAUGCAAAUUCGUACGGAGGGGUUUCGCCCUUCAGUGGCGAACGGGUGCGUAACACGUGAGCAACCUGCCUGUGGGUGGGGGAUAACCCGGGGAAACCCGGGCUAAUACCGCACGAGGUCACCGGAUCGAUUGAUCGGGUGAUGAAAGGGGCUUAACGGCCUCGCCCGCAGAGGGGCUCGCGGCGUAUCAGCUAGCUGGUGAGGUAACGGCUCACCAGGGCAACGACGCGUAGCCGAUCUGAGAGGAUGAUCGGCCACAUUGGGACUGAGAUACGGCCCAGACUCCUACGGGAGGCAGCAGUGGGGAAUCUUGCGCAAUGGGCGAAAGCCUGACGCAGCGACGCCGCGUGCGGGAGGAAGCCUUUCGGGGUGUAAACCGCUGUCAGGGGGGAAGAAAGGGCGGGGGAGGAAAUGCCCCUGUUUUGACGGUACCUCCAAAGGAAGCACCGGCUAACUCUGUGCCAGCAGCCGCGGUAAUACAGAGGGUGCGAGCGUUGUUCGGAAUUACUGGGCGUAAAGCGCGCGCAGGCGGCCCUUUAAGUCUACCCGUGAAAUGCCGGAGCUCAACUCCGUGCACGCCGGGGGAUACUGGAGGGCUGGAGACAGGUAGAGGCAGGCGGAAUUCCGGGUGUAGCGGUGGAAUGCGUAGAGAUCCGGAAGAACACCAGAGGCGAAGGCGGCCUGCUGGGCCUUGUCUGACGCUGAGGCGCGAAAGCGUGGGGAGCGAACAGGAUUAGAUACCCUGGUAGUCCACGCCGUAAACGAUGGGCACUGGGCGCGGGUGGGAUCGACCCCUUCCGUGCCGCAGCUAACGCGUUAAGUGCCCCGCCUGGGGAGUACGGCCGCAAGGCUGAAACUCAAAGGAAUUGACGGGGGCCCGCACAAGCGGUGGAGCAUGUGGUUUAAUUCGAAGCAACGCGAAGAACCUUACCUGGGCUUGACAUCCUGGUGAAAUCCUCGUGAAAGCGGGGACCUCCUUCGGGACUCCAGGACAGGUGCUGCAUGGCUGUCGUCAGCUCGUGUCGUGAGAUGUUGGGUUAAGUCCCGCAACGAGCGCAACCCAAUCUG
rnacentral:rRNA from 1 species